rnacentral:rRNA from 1 species
UGGCUCAGGACGAACGCUGGCGGCGUGCUUAACACAUGCAAGUCGAACGGAACACCCUUGACAGAGGUUUCGGCCAAUGAAGAGGAAUGUUUAGUGGCGGACUGGUGAGUAACGCGUGAGGAACCUGCCUUUCAGAGGGGGACAACAGUUGGAAACGACUGCUAAUACCGCAUGAAGCAGCGAGGGGACAUCCCCUUGCUGUCAAAGAUUUAUCGCUGAAAGAUGGCCUCGCGUCUGAUUAGCUAGUUGGUGGGGUAACGGCCCACCAAGGCGACGAUCAGUAGCCGGACUGAGAGGUUGACCGGCCACAUUGGGACUGAGAUACGGCCCAGACUCCUACGGGAGGCAGCAGUGGGGAAUAUUGGGCAAUUGGACGCAAGUCUGACCCAGCAACGCCGCGUGAAGGAAGAAGGCUUUCGGGUUGUAAACUUCUUUUAACAGGGAAGAGAAGAAGACGGUACCUGUUGAAUAAGCCACGGCUAACUACGUGCCAGCCGCCGC